GAACAUGAACCAACAAACAAAGAAAGUGGAGAAAGUCUACAUCAUAGAGCUGGAGAACUUGAUCUUCAGACCGUCAAACGCCCUAAGCAAGACAGUUCAGGAAAUAACGUUGCAGAAGACAUGUAAGAUACAC